AUGAUACAUACGAACAAUGCUGCUGUUAUUUCCUUACUGAAGGAUGAUGCUUGCUUUAUCCAAGAAUUAUUCUCUAGGAUGGGAUCACCAAAUAUUUCUAUGGAAUCAAAAAGAGAAUUGGUGAGACAUUCUCUUAUCUUUUCUUAUACGAGUUUAUGGCUUCAUCACAUGAAGUAUCUUUUUCAUUAUCAUAUCUGUUUAUUGUUAUACGAGCUUAUGGCUUCAUCACAUGAAGUAUCCUUUUCAUUAUCAGAUCUGUUUAUUGAUAGACAUUAUUAUCAAUUCCUUCGCAUUGUGUCAUUGCUACAAAGGAAUUUAGUUUGGGUACUGUAA
rnacentral:rRNA from 1 species